GUGGGGAAUAUUGGGCAAUGGGCGCAAGCCUGACCCAGCAACGCCGCGUGAGGGAAGAAGGCUUUCGGGUUGUAAACCUCUGUCCUUGGUGACGAAGAAAGUGACGGUAGCCAAGGAGGAAGCCCCGGCUAACUACGUGCCAGCAGCCGCGGUAAUACGUAGGGGGCGAGCGUUGUCCGGAAUUACUGGGCGUAAAGGGUGCGUAGGUGGCCUUUUAAGUUGGAUGUGAAAUACCCGGGCUUAACUUGGGGGGUGCAUCUAAUACUGGGAGGCUAGAGUGCAGGAGAGGGAAGCGGAAUUCCUAGUGUAGCGGUGAAAUGCGUAGAUAUUAGGAGGAACACCAGUGGCGAAGGCGGCUUUCUGGACUGUAACUGACACUGAGGCACGAAAGCGUGGGGAGCAAACAGGAUUAGAAACCCCAGUAGUCC
rnacentral:rRNA from 1 species